AGGAACUGUUAUGUGUGAUCCCCUUUCCUGGGAAUGGCUGAAAACCUGCCUGCCUGUGGGAAAUGGAAAAGAAUUGAUUUACAAAGAAAAGGAAACAGACCAGGAGGCAGAGUGGAAAGGACAAGAAGAGGACUAUCCCAUGUGUGUCAAAUUGCAUUCAUCAUAGGUCAUGAUUGAACACCAGCUACCCUCUCUCUAGCCCAAACAGGCUGAUAAGCUCCCAUUUAUAUAAGAUACAUUACUCAUUUAAUUCAUUUACUGUGUGAAUAAAUUGAAGACUGAAUCCACUGAGUACAUCUUUGCAGAGCAAUAGCAUAACUGCCAAGAAUAUAGCAUUACUCUGUGAGCGGAGAGUGUGGACUUAAACCUGUGUGAGCACUGAGACUGCCAUCAGUUUUCGUUACUGGCUGUGAAAAACUGGGGGUUGACAAAUACUUCAGUGAAGCUGAUCAGACAUUGCAACAUCCCGUCCUUUCCUCCAGCACCCUCACUGAGGGUGUGACUGCUGUGUUUCUUUGAGACUUUUAAUUUUUUCUUUCAAAGUUUCCAAACUCUAAAUUCAUCCUGGUAUACAUAUAUUCAAAUCAGUUAUUUGUUAUUACAUUAGUUUUGCAACUAAUAGAAAAGCUGCAAUCCAAAUAUUUUGCAGGAAAAUAUGGAAUAGAAGGUGCAUAUGUAGCAACUGUUAACCCUUUUGGGGUUCAAAUAAAGACAGAAUCCUUAACUCAAAACUUUAAGUAGGUUAAAAUAUGCAGUUUUCUUUAGUGGAAAGCUUUCAACUGCCAGCAAACCUGUCUUUGUGCAUUUGAGGUAUUCUGAUUUAUGGUAAGAGCUGUGAAACCACAGGCUCUACAGACAGGGCAUAUAUUUAAAGGUUAAAUCUUCACUCUGUUGCACUACUCUUAUGACUGUAGCAUGGUUUUUGAAUGAUUCUUAUCCUUAUUCUGAUCCUUGCAGCACUUGCUGAACUGUGCCACAAAAUCUUGUACAGACUUAUCCUGGAAAUGGAGUUGUAGCUAAACUACAUUACAGCUGUAUCUUCAGCUGUAGUUCUAUAAUGUUUUUCAUCAGUUCUCAUCUAGGUCUUGGUAUUCAUGUUCUGUCUUUGAAUUCACUCUGAAAUUUUAAGGUCCAUGGAGCAAGAAUAACAUUUAUUGCAUGUUUAUAAUCAAGAAUGAAAUCAGAUCUUAUGGUUUGUAUCCAAAAAUAUAUUUUAGAAAUAUGAAAAAAAAAAUAGUAAUCACAAUAAAUAACCAGACUAUUUAAAAUGUAACUCUGCUCUAUGACUGCAUGUUGAACAUUUUGUGAGUUAAUUGUGGCAUUUCAUGAAGAAAUAACAGAUACCCUAUGUAUACCAUGAUAUGUGCAUUUGAAUGCUACAGACUGAUGGGAGAAAAAUUGUUCCCAAAAUUUAACCAAAGAAAUAUCAUACACACAAACACUCACAAUCAGUAAAGACAGGAACAAUAGACAAGGAGAUUUCAGAACAUAAAUUUGUGAUCCUUAAAUUUUUAUACAGCUUCAUUAUUUCUGUGUGAUAUUUGAAAAUCUGUCUGUCUCAUACCUGUCACAUGGUGCUUGAACAUCAAGAAGAAUAGUCUGCACUUACAUAGUACAUUUUCCUCAGACAUCUUUAAAUGCUUUACAGGCAACUGAAUCUCUAAAAUGUUGUCUGAGGCUGAGAAUUAUUGUUUUUUUCAACUAUUCCAUUUACUUACUUCGUAAUUAUAGUUUUCACAGAAAAUCUGUAACAUACUAAUAUUGGAAUCUACUGGUGUAAACUGU